GGAGUUUGGACCGUGUCUCAGUUCCAAUGUGGGGGACCUUCCUCUCAGAACCCCUACUGAUCGUCGACUUGGUGAGCCGUUACCCCACCAACUAUCUAAUCAGAAGCGUGCUCACCCAUAGUCCUUACGUUUCAAGCAAGUGUCAUGCGGCACUCGCUCACAUGGAGCAUUAAUCCAACUUUCGCUGGGCUAUUCCCCGACUAUGGACAGAUUGCACACCUGUUACGCACCCGUGCGCCGGUCGCCAUCAUUGUGUGCAAGCAAACUUCAUGCUGCCCCUCGACUUGCAUGUGUUAAGCCUGUAGCUAGCGUUCAUC
rnacentral:rRNA from 1 species